rnacentral:rRNA from 1 species
GCCCACGGGUCGGCAUCGACCAGAAGGGAAAAGGAGCAAAUCCGCUUUGAGAUGGCCUCGCGUCCGAUUAGCUAGUUGGUGAGGUAAUGGCCCACCAAGGCGACGAUCGGUAGCCGGACUGAGAGGUUUGAACGGCCACAUUGGGACUGAGACACGGCCCAGACUCCUACGGGAGGCAGCAGUGGGGAAUAUUGCACAAUGGGGGAAACCCUGAUGCAGCGACGCCGCGUGGAGGAAGAAGGUCUUCGGAUUGUAAACUCCUGUUGUUGGGGAAGAUAAUGACGGUACCCAACAAGGAAGUGACGGCUAACUACGUG